rnacentral:lncRNA from 1 species
UUCAAUACACUCUGCAUUGAAUCUCAGUUAGGGAUGGCAUCCGGGGCGGGCGGGUACGGACACUGGACCCCGGCCUUGCCCGUUAGUACAUCCGGGUUUCUAUAACUCCGGGCCCGGAGCCCAGGGGAAAACGAAGCCAAGGCCCGCCGUCGGAGGCCCGGGUUACCGGGUCAAGCCUGUUAGAUAAUAAAUAAAAGACCUCACACCUGCUUGAAAGUUGAAUCUGCGAAAACACCCUACAUCAGAGCUCCCUGUAGGACAGCCUCCAUAGCAACCACCAGAUGCUUCCCCCUGACGAUUCAUCCACCGCGCCACCGCCACCUCAUGUGGUUGAGCUGCUGAGUACAAUAAGUCAAUAGCGGCAAUUAUGGAGAAAGAAUAAGAGGUUGCGCCGAUCUCCUCAGUCGGAGAAGGCUGCAACGGUUACCAAAUCGGUGGAUAUUAAAGAGGAUCCCGCUGCCGACGGAGCAGAGGGCGAUAAGAAGGAGAAACGUACGAUGAAGAUUCUGCUGCCGCAGUCAUUGAUUUCAUUGAAGAAAGACAACAAUCGAUUCCAUUGAUUUCAUUAAUUCCGAGAGCUUUGAGUUCAAGCACAAAAGCAUUUGGUGCAUGAAGCUCUCUACUCGCUCCUUCACCUCUCCACCAAAGGAGGAGAAUUGAAGAUUGGAAUCGAUCUGAAUUCGAAAAGACUGAAUUGAAGAUUGGAAUCAGUAAAGUGAGAAGGGGGAUUAAUGGCUGACACGCACGAAAUGGGUCAUUGAUGAAUCUGACCGAGUUUCCGGGGCGGAUACCACAAUCCCGAUACCCUACCCGUACCCCUGUUUCGGGUGGCGGGUUUACCUGAAUCCGGUCAAACCCCUGUUUUGGGUGGCGGGUUUACCCGAAUCCGG